CAAAUGGCUGUAACGUGUUCGUUAGAACUGAAAAAAUGAGACAUACUAGCGAAGGCAGUUGAACGAUGUUUAUACGUGCGUAACAGUAUUAGACCUACUCUCACAUUACCCCUAAUGGAGAGGCCAGACAUACAUGUGGUUUCUGAGGAGGAGCAACAGUCUUUCCAGAAGUUGUGGGGGCUGCAAUCUGGAGGACUGACUGAUCUUGCCUAGUAGCAUUAGCCAUCAUGGCCUUGCUGUAUUGAUACUGCAAACAACUGAAAGCGCGGGAAAACUGCAGCCAUUAUUUUUCCCAGGAGCAUACAGCUCUAUUAUAUGGUUAAAUUAAGAUGGGUAAAAUAUUCCAGAGCAAAAUAGUCCCCUGUUUGGGCCUCUGGAUGGGAACUUCUCAAGAGGAUAUUGUUAUCAGGGGUCAGAGCAUGGAAUGUUACAUCUCUGAUCAUGUAGGCACAGGAUGAAUUAACAGGAUGUAUACACCCCAGGAAACCUGAGAAUUUCUUCAUCUACGAGAAAGUGGGGAAAAACCUGGGACUUUUUCAUUGUUUUGGUUUUCAGUUAAAUGUUUGUAAUUUUGACUGGUAAGAACUGAUAAACUAACAAAGAAUUUUAGUUUAGUGAA